UACAGAGGUCCCAAGCGUUGUUCGGAAUCACUGGGCGUAAAGCGCACGCAGGCGGAUCGUUAAGUCAGGGGUGAAAUCCCGAGGCUCAACCUCGGAACUGCCUUUGAUACUGGCGAUCUUUGAGUCCGGGAGAGGUGAGUGGAACUCCGAGUGUAGAGGUGAAAUUCGUAGAUAUUCGGAAGAACACCAGUGGCGAAGGCGGCUCACUGGCCCGGUACUGACGCUGAGGUGCGAAAGCGUGGGGAGCAAACAGG
rnacentral:rRNA from 1 species